GAUGAAGAACGUAGCGAAAUGCGAUGAGUAAUGCGAAUUGCAGAAUUCAGUGAGUCAUCGAAUCUUUGAACGCACAUUGCGCCCUGUGGUAUUCCGCAGGGCAUGCCUGUUCGAGCGUCAUUUCAACCCUCAAGCCCCGCUUGGUGUUGGGCCCCGCCCGCCGUGGCCGGCCCUAAAGACAGUGGCGGCGCCGCCUGGCCCUCAGCGUAGUACAGCUCUCGCUCCAGGGUCCGGCGGCCGCCUGCCAGAACCCCCCCAACUCUGUGGUUGACCUCGGAUCAGGUAGGGAUACCCGCUGAACUUAAGCAUAUCAAUGAGCGGAGGA
rnacentral:misc_RNA from 1 species